rnacentral:rRNA from 1 species
CAAGAGCGUAUAUUAAAGUUGUUGCAGUUAAAAGCUCGUAGUUGGAUUUCUGGUACAAUGCGCCUGGCCCGCGGCAGUAAUGCUUGUGAGUGCCGGUGCGCGUUGCCAUUCCUUCUAGAAAACGUUUACUACCUUUACCUUGGGCCGGACUCGCGAUCUAGAUCUUUACUUGAAAAAUUAGAGUGUUCAAAGCAGGCUUUUGCUGUGAAUACAUUAGCAUGGAAUAAUAAUCUAGGACUUCGGUUUUAUUUUGUUGGUUUCUAACACUGAAGUAAUGAUUGAUAGGGAUAGUUGGGGUGCUAGUAUUGGCCGGCCAGAGGUGAAAUUCUUGGAUUCGGUCAAGACUAACUUAUGCGAAAGCAUUCACCAAGGAUGUCUUCUUUAAUCAAGAACGAAAGUUGGGGGAUCGAAGAUGAUUAGAUAC